rnacentral:tRNA from 1 species
GCUGAGGUUGUGGCUCAGUGGUAGAGCACUUGCCUAGCACGUGUGAGGCACCACAUAUAAACAAACAAGUAAAUAAAUGUCCAUCAAUAACUAAUAAGAAUGUUAAAAAAAAAAAAAAAAGGUCUGAGGAUGUGGCUCAGUGCUUAAGUGACCUGGAUUCAAUUUCAAUUCCCAGUA